rnacentral:misc_RNA from 1 species
AAGGUCGUAACAAGGUUUCCGUAGGUGAACCUGCGGAAGGAUCAUUAUCGUAGGGCUUCGGCCCUGUCGAGAUGACUGCAACCUUAGCCGUUUAUGCGUACCGUUCCGUUUCCUCGGCAGGCCCGCCUGCCGAUGGACCCAAAAUCCAAAUCCCUUUUGAUUACCUGUAUCAGUCUGAAAACUAAUAAAAUUUGAAAC